CAGUUCGGACUGCAGGCUGCAACUCGCCUGCACGAAGUUGGAAUUGCUAGUAAUCGUGGAUCAGCAUGCCACGGUGAAUACGUUCCCGGGUCUUGUACACACCGCCCGUCACACCAUGGGAGCCGGUAAUACCCGAAGUCAGUAGUCUAACCGCAAGGAGGACGCUGCCGAAGGUAGGAUUGGCGACUGGGGUGAAGUCGUAACAAGGUACC
rnacentral:rRNA from 1 species